GCCGGGUGUGGUGGUGCACACCUGCGAUCCCAGCAACCUGGGAGGCUGAGGCAAGAGGAUCGGAAGUUUGAGGCCAGCCUCUG
rnacentral:sRNA from 1 species